UACGAAGGGGGCUAGCGUUGCUCGGAAUCACUGGGCGUAAAGCGCACGUAGGCGGCUUACUAAGUCAGGGGUGAAAUCCUGGAGCUCAACUCCAGAACUGCCUUUGAUACUGGCGAUCUCGAGUCCGGGAGAGGUGAGUGGAACUGCGAGUGUAGAGGUGAAAUUCGUAGAUAUUCGCAAGAACACCAGUGGCGAAGGGCGGCUCACUGGCCCGGUACUGACGCUGAGGUGCGAAAGCGUGGGGAGCAAACAGG
rnacentral:rRNA from 1 species